rnacentral:rRNA from 1 species
UUGACCUCGGAUCAGGUAGGAKUACCCGCUGAACUUAA